AAUGAACACACGUGAAGCGAACUGAUCAUAGAUCCAUAUACUCGUAUUUUUUCUUUUUUCUAGAUUUAUUCAAGGAUUUAACGACGCUAUACUUUUAGUGGUAGACGAUGUGCCUAUCAACAGGGAGACGCCUUUGAUGACUUCGUCAAUCUUGAGAUUUGCCGGUUCAACUUGGUUCUUCGGAGGUGCUCAUAGAGGUAUGAUGUGCGUACGUGUGUUUAUAUGAGUG
rnacentral:lncRNA from 1 species